GACGAACGCUGGCGGCGUGCCUAAUACAUGCAAGUAGAACGCUGAAGGAGGAGCUUGCUUCUCUGGAUGAGUUGCGAACGGGUGAGUAACGCGUAGGUAACCUGCCUGGUAGCGGGGGAUAACUAUUGGAAACGAUAGCUAAUACCGCAUAAGAGUAGAUGUUGCAUGACAUUUGCUUAAAAGGUGCAAUUGCAUCACUACCAGAUGGACCUGCGUUGUAUUAGCUAGUUGGUGGGGUAACGGCUCACCAAGGCGACGAUACAUAGCCGACCUGAGAGGGUGAUCGGCCACACUGGGACUGAGACACGGCCCAGACUCCUACGGGAGGCAGCAGUAGGGAAGCUUCGGCAAUGGACGGAAGUCGGACCGAGCAACGCCGCGUGAGUGAAGAAGGGUUUCGGAUCGUAAAGCUCGGUUGUAAGAGAAGAACGAGUGUGAGAGUGGAAAGUUCACACUGUGACGGUAUCUUACCAGAAAGGGACGGCUAACUACGUG
rnacentral:rRNA from 1 species